UACGGAGGAUCCGAGCGUUAUCCGGAUUUAUUGGGUUUAAAGGGUGCGCAGGCGGGAGAUUAAGUCGGCGGUGAAAUUUUGCAGCUCAACUGUAAAAGUGCCUUCGAAACUGGUUUCCUUGAGUGUAGAUGAAGUAGGCGGAAUUUGUGGUGUAGCGGUGAAAUGCAUAGAUAUCACGAGGAACUCCGAUUGCGCAGGCAGCUUACUAAACUACUACUGACGCUCAUGCACGAAGGCGUGGGGAUCAAACAGGAUUAGAUACCCCGGUA
rnacentral:rRNA from 1 species